UACGUAGGGGGCAAGCGUUGUCCGGAUUUAUUGGGCGUAAAGGGCGCGUAGGCGGCUUGGCAAGUGGAGGGUGAAAUCCCUCGGCUUAACCGAGGAACUGCCCUCCAAACUGCUUGGCUUGAGACCGGGAGAGGUGAGUGGAAUUCCCAGUGUAGCGGUGAAAUGCGUAGAUAUUGGGAGGAACACCAGUGGCGAAGGCGGCUCACUGGACCGGUACUGACGCUGAUGCGCGAAAGCGUGGGGAGCAAACGGG
rnacentral:rRNA from 1 species